rnacentral:rRNA from 1 species
UGCAAGUCGAGCGGGCCUUUCGGGGUCAGCGGCGGACGGGUGAGUAACGCGUGGGAACGUGCCCUCUGGUUCGGAAUAACUCAGGGAAACUUGAGCUAAUACCGGAUACGCCCUUUUGGGGAAAGGCUUGCUGCCGGAGGAUCGGCCCGCGUCUGAUUAGCUAGUUGGUGAGGUAACGGCUCACCAAGGCGACGAUCAGUAGCUGGUCUGAGAGGAUGAUCAGCCACACUGGGACUGAGACACGGCCCAGACUCCUACGGGAGGCAGCAGUGGGGAAUAUUGGACAAUGGGCGCAAGCCUGAUCCAGCCAUGCCGCGUGAGUGAUGAAGGCCUUAGGGUUGUAAAGCUCUUUUAUCCGGGACGAUAAUGACGGUACCGGAGGAAUAAGCCCCGGCUAACUUCGUGCCAGCAGCCGCGGUAAUACGAAGGGGGCUAGCGUUGCUCGGAAUCACUGGGCGUAAAGGGCGCGUAGGCGGCGUUUUAAGUCGGGGGUGAAAGCCUGUGGCUCAACCACAGAAUGGCCUUCGAUACUGGGACGCUUGAGUAUGGUAGAGGUUGGUGGAACUGCGAGUGUAGAGGUGAAAUUCGUAGAUAUUCGCAAGAACACCGGUGGCGAAGGCGGCCAACUG